rnacentral:rRNA from 1 species
AGGGUUUGAUCAUGGCUCAGAACGUACGCUGGCGGCACGCCUAACACAUGCAAGUCGAACGAAGUAGCAAUACUUAGUGGCAGACGGGUGAGUAACAUGUAGGUAUCUGCCCUUUGGCCUGGAAUAACACGAGGAAACUUGUGCUAAUACCGGAUAAGUCUUUACGGAGAAAGCUUUAUGCACCAUUGGAUGAGCCUGCACUUGAUUAGUUUGUUGGUAGGGUAAUGGCCUACCAAGACUGUGAUCAAUAGCUGAUUUGAGAGGAUGAUCAGCCACAUUGGGACUGAGACACGGCCCAAACUCCUACGGGAGGCAGCAGUGGGGAAUCUUGCACAAUGGAGGAAACUCUGAUGCAGCGAUGCCGCGUGAGUGAAGAAGGCCUUUGGGUUGUAAAGCUCUUUCGUCGGGGAAGAAAAUGACUGUACCCGAAUAAGAAGGUCCGGCUAACUUCGUGCCAGCAGCCGCGGUAAUACGAAGGGACCUAGCGUAGUUCGGAAUUACUGGGCUUAAAGAGUUCGUAGGUGGUUGAAAAAGUUGGUGGUGAAAUCCCAGAGCUUAACUCUGGAACUGCCAUCAAAACUUUUCAGCUAGAGUAUGAUAGAGGAAAGCAGAAUUUCUAGUGUAGAGGUGAAAUUCGUAGAUAUUAGAAAGAAUACCAAUUGCGAAGGCAGCUUUCUGGAUCAUUACUGACACUGAGGAACGAAAGCAUGGGUAGCGAAGAGGAUUAGAUACCCUCGUAGUCCAUGCCGUAAACGAUGUGUGUUAGACGUUGGAAAUUUAUUUUCAGUGUCGCAGCGAAAGCGAUAAACACACCGCCUGGGGAGUACGACCGCAAGGUUAAAACUCAAAUGAAUUGACGGGGACCCGCACAAGUAGUGGAGCAUGUGGUUUAAUUCGAAGAUACGCGCAGAACCUUACCAACACUUGACAUGUUCGUCGCGACUUUAAGAGAUUAAAGUUUUCGGUUCGGCCGGACGAAACACAGGUGCUGCAUGGCUGUCGUCAGCUCGUGUCGUGAGAUGUUGGGUUAAGUCCCGCAACGAGCGCAACCCUCACUUUUAGUUGCCAUCAUUAAGUUGGGCACUCUGAAAGAACUGCCAGUGAUAAGCUGGAGGAAGGUGGGGAUGACGUCAAGUCCUCAUGGCCCUUACGUGUUGGGCUACACACGUGCUACAAUGGUAUCUACAACAGGAAGCAAAACGGCGACGUUAAGCAAAUCCUUAAAAGAUACCUCAGUUCGGAUUGCACUCUGCAACUCGAGUGCAUGAAGCUGGAAUUACUAGUAAUCGUGGAUCAGCGUGCCACGGUGAAUGCGUUCCCGGGUCUUGUACACACCGCCCGUCACACCAUGGGAGUUGGUUCUACCUUAAGGCAAGGUUUCAAACCCUUGACCACGGUAUAGUCAGCGACUGGGGUGAAGUCGUAACAAGGUAACCGUA